GUGGGGAAUAUUGGACAAUGGGCGAAAGCCUGAUCCAGCCAUGCCGCGUGUGUGAAGAAGGUCUUCGGAUUGUAAAGCACUUUAAGUUGGGAGGAAGGGCAGUAAGUUAAUACCUUGCUGUUUUGACGUUACCAACAGAAUAAGCACCGGCUAACUUCGUGCCAGCAGCCGCGGUAAUACGAAGGGUGCAAGCGUUAAUCGGAAUUACUGGGCGUAAAGCGCGCGUAGGUGGUUUUGUAAGUUGGAGGUGAAAUCCCCGGGCUCAACCUGGGAACUGCCUCCAAAAAUGCAUGACUAGAGUACGGUAGAGGGUAGUGGAAUUUCCUGUGUAGCGGUGAAAUGCGUAGAUAUAGGAAGGAACACCAGUGGCGAAGGCGACUACCUGGACUGAUACUGACACUGAGGUGCGAAAGCGUGGGGAGCAAACAGGAUUAGAUACCCCAGUAGUCC
rnacentral:rRNA from 1 species